rnacentral:rRNA from 1 species
UACAUAGGGGGCAAGCGUUAUCCGGAUUUAUUGGGUGUAAAGGGUGCGUAGACGAAGAAACAAGUUGGUUGUGAAAUCCCUCGGCUCAACUGAGGAACUGCAACCAAAACUAUUUCCCUUGAGUGUCGGAGAGGAAAGUGGAAUUCCUAGUGUAGCGGUGAAAUGCGUAGAUAUUAGGAGGAACACCGGUGGCGAAGGCGACUUUCUGGACGAUAACUGACGUUGAGGCACGAAAGUGUGGGGAGCAAACAGG